UUCAGGCAAAGAAGUUAUUUUUUGUGGUGAUGGUAGGUGUGACUCCCCAGGCUCAUCUGCUAAAUAUUGCACCUAUACUUUAAUGGAGUCGAGCACUGGCAGAAUACUAGAUUGUCAAACAGUGGAUAAACGUGAGGUUAAUCUUAAAUCUCCAAAUAUGGAGCGAGAAGGAUUAAAAAGAAGUGUUUCGUUUUUAAAGGAAAGCAAUGUCAACAUUAAAGAAAUCACUACAGAUGCAUCUAUAUCUGUAAUAUCAUUUUUAGGAACAUCGCACCCCAACAUUUUACAUUCAUUAGAUGUGUGGCACAAAGCCAAAAAGUUGAAAAAAAGUUUGUGUGAGGUAUAGGUCUCAUAAUUGUUGCAUAAAUUUUCGAGCUACUCACAGCUAACAAAGAAAAAAGGAAUGGAGACUCUGGCUAAACGGAUUGACAAAAUGUAUAACCACUUCUGGUAUUGCUGUGAAACAUGUGAUGAGAAAGAGGAAUUACUUAAAAGUAAAUGGAUUAGUAUACUUCAUCAUAUUCAAGAUGAACAUGAUUGGAUUACUGGUAAAUGUGAUCAUAUAGAUGAGAAUUAAGGA